rnacentral:pre_miRNA from 1 species
UUGACAGAAGAGAGUGAGCACCCAUGGUGUUUUCUUGCAUGGAAAGGGAGAGACAGAGUCCAUGCUCCAAAGCUAUGCGUGCUCGCUCCUCUAUCUGUCAG